rnacentral:rRNA from 1 species
GAUGAACGCUAGCGGCAGGCCUAAUACAUGCAAGUCAAGGGGCCAGCAAUGGCACCGGCGGACGGGUGCGUAACGCGUACACAACGUACCUCUGACAGGGGGAUAGCAUUGGGAAAACUGGUGGUAAUACCCCAUAGUAUUGCUGGGAGGCAUUUCUUGGCAAUUAAAGUUACGGCGGUCAGAGAUCGGUGUGCGUCCGAUUAGCUAGUUGGCGGGGUAACGGCCCACCAAGGCGACGAUCGGUAGGGGGUNUGAGAGCAUGACCCCCCCANAUGGUACUGAGACACGGACCCAACUCCGUACGGGAGGCAGCAAGUAAGGAAUAUUGGACAAUGGUCGGAAGACUGAUCCAGCCAUGCCGCGUAGAAGGACGAAGGCGCUCAGCG